GACGAACGCUGGCGGCGUGCUUAACACAUGCAAGUCGAACGGAAAGGCCCUGCUUUUGUGGGGUGCUCGAGUGGCGAACGGGUGAGUAACACGUGAGUAACCUGCCCUUGACUUUCGGGUAACUUCAGGAAACUGGGGCUAUUACCGGAUAGGAUCUCCUGCUGCAUGUUGGGGGUUGGAAAGUUUCGGCGGUUGGGGAUGGACUCGCGGCUUAUCAGCUUGUUGGUGGGGUAGUGGCUUACCAAGGCUUUGACGGGUAGCCGGCCUGCGAGGGUGACCGGCGACAAGGGGACUGAGAGACGGCCCAGACGCCUACGGGAGGCAGCAGUGGGGAAUAUGGCACAAUGGGCGGAAGCCUGAUGCAGCGACGCCGCGUGCGGGAUGACGGGCUUCGGGUUGUAAACCGCUGUCGCCUGAGACGAAGCGUGAGUGACGGUAAUGGGUAAAGAAGCACCGGCUAACUACGUG
rnacentral:rRNA from 1 species